UACGGAGGGAGCUAGCGUUGUUCGGAAUUACUGGGCGUAAAGCGCGCGUAGGCGGCUUUGUAAGUUAGAGGUGAAAGCCCGGGGCUCAACCCCGGAAUUGCCUUUAAGACUGCAUCGCUUGAAUCCGGGAGAGGUGAGUGGAAUUCCGAGUGUAGAGGUGAAAUUCGUAGAUAUUCGGAAGAACACCAGUGGCGAAGGCGGCUCACUGGACCGGCAUUGACGCUGGAGGUGCGAAAGCGUGGGGAGCAAACAGG
rnacentral:rRNA from 1 species